rnacentral:rRNA from 1 species
GAGUUUGAUCCUGGCUCAGGAUGAACGCUAGCUACAGGCUUAACACAUGCAAGUCGCGGGGCAGCAUGGAUGUCCUUUCGGGGACAUCUGAUGGCGACCGGCGUACGGGUGAGUAACGCGUAUCCAACCUGCCCUUUACAACGGGACAGCCCGUCGAAAGGCGGAUUAAUACCGUAUGUUGUCAUGUUGAUGCAUAUUUUCAUGACCAAAGGCUUCGGCCGGUAAAGGAUGGGGAUGCGUCUGAUUAGCUUGCCGGCGGGGUAACGGCCCACCGGGGCGACGAUCAGUAGGGGUUCUGAGAGGAAGGUCCCCCACAUUGGAACUGAGACACGGUCCAAACUCCUACGGGAGGCAGCAGUGAGGAAUAUUGGUCAAUGGGCGCGAGCCUGAACCAGCCAAGUAGCGUGCAGGACGACGGCCCUAUGGGUUGUAAACUGCUUUUAUACGGGGAUAAAGUAUGCCACGUGUGGUUUAUUGCAGGUACCGUAUGAAUAAGGACCGGCUAAUUCCGUGCCAGCAGCCGCGGUAAUACGGAAGGUCCGGGCGUUAUCCGGAUUUAUUGGGUUUAGAGGGAGCGUAGGCCGGGUUUUAAGCGUGCCGUGAAAUGUCGGGGCUCAACCUUGACACUGCGGCGCGAACUGGAGUCCUUGAGUGCGCGGAACGUAUGCGGAAUUCGUGGUGUAGCGGUGAAAUGC